rnacentral:lncRNA from 7 species
AGAUCAUAUCAUGUAUGUCUUCAGCAGUACAUUCUGUCUGGGUUGAUGAGCACUUCAGCCGAUCAAUGCUGUUAUUUUCCCUGUGUAAGUGAAUGACAUUUGUUCUGAAUUCAGAGCCUUCACAGGAACUGUGGAGCUGGUAAAAGUGUAGGAUGCUGUUCCAUAUUACAGCCAAAUCAAAUGAAACUAGAGCAUGACAGUUCCUCCCUCAUCUGCACAAUAAUGCAGGUGUAUGUUUACAAGUUUAUUAAACAUGCAAAUGUGUGGUGAAAUUCUAGAAAGAAGAAAUCAUUUUAAGGCUGGAGUUUCUAUCACCCCAAUUUCCCCAUGUGCCAUACAGUAUAUGGCUGUCCAUCAGUAGACUGCCAACCCCUUUCCAUCUUAUAUAUGUCUAGCACUAUUUGCUUUGUAAGGCUUCAUAAUUCUAAAGUCAUAACCUCAGGCUUUUUUUAGUACAGGUGAUCCUUAUAUUAUUUGUUAUUAUAUACUUAUUUUCUAAAAUUAUUUCUUUGAAUCAUUGUGUAACUCCAGUCAUUGGCACUGCAAGUCUGUCAAAUAACUUCCAUAGUUCUUUAGUGUUCUCAAAAAUCAGCUGUAUUUGGUGUACACCUGACACCAUUUCUUGUCAUUGUGUCUUUCAGUUUAAAUUGUAUUUGAAAAAUUGUAGGUUUUUAUCACUGUAUAUAUUUUUUUAUUUUUUAAAUUCUGUUAGUCAUUUUUAGGCUAUAGGAGUAUUUUGCUAUUCAUGGAUAGCUGUUAUCUCCUUUAACGGUGCCACAGAUGAAACAUAACUGCCAGCUUCAAUUCACUGCCUCUUCUCAGCAGUUUUGGUGUGAUUCAUGACUGGUGAUGUGAGGCUCAUAAAGGAACUGCUUCUCUGCUACCUCUUGUCAACUACUUUCAGUUUACUGAUCACGUAUUUCUGAGCAAAAGCAACUGACCAUUCUUGAUCUGGUGGGCUUCCCACCUUUGUUUGUUUUUCUUCCUAUACUGUAAUAAUAGAUAAAUCUGCAGAGGUUUACUGAACUCAAUCUUUGUUGGUAUGAUGAACACGAGAAUUAAUAAACACUUCUAUCUUUUACUG